UUGGGAAUCUUGGACAAUGGGGGAAACCCUGAUCCAGCCAUGCCGCGUGAGUGAUGAAGGCCUUCGGGUUGUAAAACUCUUUCGACGGGGACGAUAAUGACGGUACUCGUAGAAGAAGCUCCGGCUAACUUCGUGCCAGCAGCCGCGGUAAUACGAAGGGGGCUAGCGUUGUUCGGAAUUACUGGGCGUAAAGCGCGCGCAGGCGGUUUUUCAAGUCAGUGGUGAAAGCCCGGAGCUCAACUCCGGAACUGCCAUUGAAACUGUAAAACUUGAGGACGAGGGAGGUGAGUGGAAUUCCCAGUGUAGAGGUGAAAUUCGUAGAUAUUGGGAAGAACACCGGUGGCGAAGGCGGCUCACUGGCUCGUAUCUGACGCUCAGGCGCGACAGCGUGGGGAUCAAACAG
rnacentral:rRNA from 1 species